GGGGGCGGUUGAGUCCUGGUGGGCUCCGCGGUCUUCAAAAUCGUCUGAGGGGUUGCGCAGAGCAGGCCCUGGUGGGUUCGACUCCCAUCCGCUCCC
rnacentral:tRNA from 1 species